GAUAUCAGGGUCAAAAGGUCAAAAAGUCGUUCGUGCUUGCACGAUAAGACUUUUGAACUUGGGACCCGCCAAACAUGAGAAAGUAGCAAUUUACGCAGUAAAUCAGCGGAUUUCGAAUGUUUGAGAAUUGCGAAAGCUGCUUUGCAGCGGAGCAAUUCGUGGAUAUC
rnacentral:sRNA from 1 species